UACGGGGGGGGCAAGCGUUGUUCGGAAUUACUGGGCGUAAAGAGCUCGUAGGCGGCUCGUCGCGUCAGCUGUGAAAACCCGCAGCUUAACUGUGGGCUUGCAGCUGAUACGGGCGGGCUAGAGUUCGGUAGGGGAGACUGGAAUUCCUGGUGUAGCGGUGAAAUGCGCAGAUAUCAGGAGGAACACCGGUGGCGAAGGCGGGUCUCUGGGCCGAUACUGACGCUGAGGAGCGAAAGCGUGGGGAGCGAACAGG
rnacentral:rRNA from 1 species